rnacentral:misc_RNA from 1 species
CUUACCUAAACGUUGCUUCGGCGGGAAUAGACGGCCCUGUAAAACGGGCCGCCCCCGCCAGAGGACCCUUAACUCUGUUUCUUAUAUGUUAUCUUCUGAGGGGAACAAGCAAAUAAAUUAAAACUUUCAACAAAACGGAUCUCUUGGCUCUGGCAUCGAUGAAGAACGCAGCGAAAUGCGAUAAGUAAUGUGAAUUGCAGAAUUCCCAGUGAAUCAUCGAAUCUUUGAACGCACAUUGCGCCCGCCAGUAUUCUGGCGGGCAGCCUGUUCGAGCGUCAUUACAACCCUCAGGCCCCCGGGCCUGGCGUUGGGGAUCGGCGGAGCGCCCCUCGGGUUGGGCGCCACGCCGUCCCCCAAAUACAGUGGCGGUUUCCCGCCGCGAGCUUCCAUCGCGUAGUAGAACACCUCGCGACUGGACAGCGGCGCCGGCCACGCCGUAAAACGA